rnacentral:rRNA from 1 species
CCUACGUGUGGCAGCAGUGAGGAAUAUUGGUCAAUGGACGAGAGUCUGAACCAGCCAAGUAGCGUGAAGGAUGACUGCCCUAUGGGUUGUAAACUUCUUUUAUAUGGGAAUAAAACAGGGUAUGCAUACCCUCUUGUAUGUACCAUAUGAAUAAGGAUCGGCUAACUCCGGGCCAGCAGCCGCGGUAAUCCGGAGGUUCCGAGCGUUAUCCGGAUUUAUUGGGUUUAAAGGGAGCGUAGGUGGAUUGUUAAGUCAGUUUUGAAAGUUUGCGGCUCAACCGUAAAAUUGCAGUUGAAACUGGCAGUCUUGAGUACAGGAGAGGUGGGCGGAAUUCGUGGUGUAGCGGUGAAAUGCUUAGAUAUCACGAAGAA